rnacentral:rRNA from 1 species
UACGAAGGGGGCUAGCGUUGCUCGGAAUCACUGGGCGUAAAGCGCACGUAGGCGGAUUGCUAAGUCAGGGGUGAAAUCCUGGAGCUCAACUCCAGAACUGCCUUUGAUACUGGCGAUCUUGAGUCCGGGAGAGGUGAGUGGAACUGCGAGUGUAGAGGUGAAAUUCGUAGAUAUUCGCAAGAACACCAGUGGCGAAGGCGGCUCACUGGCCCGGUACUGACGCUGAGUUGCGAAUGCGUGGGGAGCAAACAGG